rnacentral:rRNA from 1 species
CAGUCGCCACGGUAAUACAGAGGGUGCAAGCGUUGAUCGGAAUUACUGGGCGUAAAGCGCGCGUAGGUGGUUUGUUAAGUUGGAUGUGAAAUCCCCGGGCUCAACCUGGGAACUGCAUCCAAAACUGGCAAGCUAGAGUAUGGUAGAGGGUGGUGGAAUUUCCUGUGUAGCGGUGAAAUGCGUAGAUAUAGGAAGGAACACCAGUGGCGAAGGCGACCACCUGGACUGAUACUGACACUGAGGUGCGAAAGCGUGGGGAGCAAACAGGAUUAGAGACCCCCGUAGUCCCUGUCUCUUAUAA